rnacentral:misc_RNA from 1 species
GUGAGUCAUCGAAUCUUUGAACGCACCUUGCGCCCCUUGGUAUUCCGAGGGGCAUGCCUGUUUGAGUGUCUUGAAAUCAUCAAGCCCCUCGGCGCUCGUCGCCGGAGGGCUUGGACUUGGGGGUCUUGCUGACGCUUCGGCGCCGGCUCCCCUUAAAUGAAUCGGUCGGGCUUAUCGUGUGCCGGUCCACGGGCGUUGUAUCACCCUCGUCCUGGGAUGGCGCUCGACUCGAAGGCCCCUCCUCGACCUGCCUAUGGAGCGGCGGUCAAAGGCGCUUUGCCACUUUGUGAUCUGACCUCAAAUCAGGUAGGACUACCCGCUGAACUUAAGCAUAUCAAUAAGCGGAGGA